rnacentral:tRNA from 1 species
GCGUCCGUAGUUCAAUGGUUCGAAUGGGACGUUGCCAACGUCUUGAUCCGGGUUCGAUUCCCGGCGGACGCA